rnacentral:lncRNA from 1 species
AACAGGUCACUUACUUAACCAGAGUUGUAGGGGUCAAAAAUUAGGGCAUGAAAAACUCAGAAAAAAAAAGAAUGAGGCUCCAUAGGGAAGGGAAGUUUCUAAGGGUGGUUGCCCCUCUCUGUUAAAUUGAAUCAUCUUCUUCCGAUCAUUCAUUUAUUGGGCCUAUGAUUUCAUUUUCCAGUUACCCAAAUUAAUCAACAACCCUCUAGUGUGUGUAUAUAUAUGUAUAGGAAACUGGUAUUUCUACAUGUGUUUAUUCUUCUUCAUUCAAACCCAUUCAGCUCAACUUCUAUUACUGUGCUGCUGCUGCUAGUACUACUAUAUAAGAGCCAUAGGCUUGUCAAAAAGAAAAGAAAAGAAAAGAAAAACUACGCAAGAGACUGUGAUGAUGAAUCAAUUUUCUGAGUUAAAUCGGGCAUUGAGAGAAUGUGACCCGUAUCUUGGCGGGGCGACUCGGAGGGUAUGCGAGAGAUCGAUUGGUUAAUAUAGUCUUCUUUCUCUCUCAUGCAACUGUUGGUUGCAGCCAUGGCUGUGUCACCCUCUUGCCUGAUAUAUUACAGAUCUGAGCCUCAGCUUUCCUCAUAUCUCUAUAUUUAUGCAUUUCUAGUGUAUAUGUAUUGGAACUAAAGGGCAUUGCUCAACUUAAUUCAUUUUCCAACUUCCUAAUGGUAAACCUGAAGAAAUUUGAUACUCGGAGCUUUUAAAUCUUGUACUACUCGUCAAAGUCCUACUUAAUUA